GUGGGUAUAGCUCAGUGGUAGUGUAUGUGCUUAAUGUGCACGAGGUCCUGGGUUCAAUUCCCAGUACCUCCA
rfam:Camelus ferus unplaced genomic scaffold scaffold622, whole genome shotgun sequence.